GAGGAAAGCCGCUGUCGGAACACCCAAUGUGGUGAGAAGCCGAAUAAACUUGGAAGAGCAACCGCCAAGGGUCGGCGGAACAUUAGCAGUUUUCUCGGCCGAAAUCGGUUCGCCGAUUAUACCGGUCGAACGACUCGAGAUCGGCACGAUCAAGGUCCGCGAUCUAGAUCGGUUAAUUGGUCCAGUUCUCUCACCAUCAUCAGAUAAGGUCAUCACGAUUAUUCGAUCACCAGGGUCAUGAGUUUUCAGUCGGGGAAUAAAAAGGUCCAUCGAAAAAGAUCAAAAACCACAAUCCUGCAGGAACAACGGUCAGAACGACUGCCGGAAUAACUAGAAUAGGAAAGUAAAGAAGAAAAGAGGAAAAUCGGAUGGAGAAAGUUUUUGGGUCAGGGGGUAUAUAUAGGGGGAAAUCAAGCAUUUAUUGCUUAGCAGAAAACAAAGCGGACGCUUCGGGAAUCGAG
rnacentral:misc_RNA from 1 species